AGAUUGAACGCUGGCGGCAUGCCUUACACAUGCAAGUCGAACGGCAGCACGGGAGCAAUCCUGGUGGCGAGUGGCGAACGGGUGAGUAAUAUAUCGGAACGUGCCCAGUCGUGGGGGAUAACGCAGCGAAAGCUGUGCUAAUACCGCAUACGAUCUAUGGAUGAAAGCGGGGGAUCGCAAGACCUCGCGCGAUUGGAGCGGCCGAUAUCAGAUUAGCUAGUUGGUGGGGUAAAAGCCUACCAAGGCGACGAUCUGUAGCUGGUCUGAGAGGACGACCAGCCACACUGGAACUGAGACACGGUCCAGACUCCUACGGGAGCAGCAGUGGGGAA
rnacentral:rRNA from 1 species